CGUAGCUUUCACUUCCAUUCGGACUCCGAUGGCUAUGCUUUCGAGGCUUAGAUUUUUUGGUCUUCAGCCUUUGCUCUGCAUCUAAGACAAUGCUUGGAUGGUGAAAUUUAUCAACAAUUUGCCUUUCAAGCAUCAAUGUUUCUCUUUCAAGCAUUUAGGUAGUCAAAUAUUAUGUUGAUGGUCAUGUCAAAGAUAAACCAUAGAACCAAACCAGGUGAAAUGAUC